rnacentral:rRNA from 1 species
GAUGAACGCUGGCGGCGUGCCUAAUACAUGCAAGUCGAGCGAACAGACGAGGAGCUUGCUCCUCUGACGUUAGCGGCGGACGGGUGAGUAACACGUGGAUAACCUACCUAUAAGACUGGGAUAACUUCGGGAAACCGGAGCUAAUACCGGAUAAUAUAUUGAACCGCAUGGUUCAAUAGUGAAAGACGGUUUUGCUGUCACUUAUAGAUGGAUCCGCGCCGCAUUAGCUAGUUGGUAAGGUAACGGCUUACCAAGGCGACGAUGCGUAGCCGAUCUGAGAGGGUGAUCGGCCACACUGGAACUGAGACACGGUCAAGACUCCUACGGGAGGCAGCAGUAGGGAAUCUUCCGCAAUGGGCGAAAGCCUGACGGAGCAACGCCGCGUGAGUGAUGAAGGUCUUCGGAUCGUAAAACUCUGUUAUUAGGGAAGAACAAAUGUGUAAGUAACUAUGCACGUCUUGACGGUACCUAAUCAGAAAGCCACGGCUAACUACGUG